UUGAAAAGAGAGUGCAAGAGGAACGUGAAACCGGUGUAAUGGAAGCAUAUGGAGUUGACGUAUCUGGUACGUAUUCAGUCGUCGGCGGUCGUGAUUGCCGGGCGUGGUAUUCCGCAAGGUUGCCCGUUUGGUAUUGUUGCGGUCGUUGAUGGUGCAUUUGCGUGCGGAGUGCGCCGAGUCGUGUGCUGGUGUCGAUCGAAACUGCUCGAGAGGACAUGACUUCGGUCGUGAAACCUUGUGCGGUGGAGGUUGGUUGCCGGUGCGCGGUUUCGUGGAAGUGCGGGUUUUUCGCGUGCUUGUAUGUCGAUUGGGCCGGUUCGUGUUGUACGCUUGCGUGCGGCGCUUAUGGGUUUAGUCGGUGUGCGGGUGUGCUCUGCGCUCUUCUCGGUGUAUAGUCAAUGACCCAUUUGACCCGUCUUGAAACACGGACCAAGGAGUUUAUGGUAUACGCGAGUCAUUGGGUAUACGAAACUCAAAGGCGAAAUGAAAGUGAGACCUUACUGGUUUUAAUGUGAACGGCUGGUGUUUCGACGUCGACCGUGCAACAUUGCCCCGUUUCGAGGACUUGUCCUGUUGCGGAGGUUGAGCGUAUGCUAUGAGACCCGAAAGAUGGUGAACUAUGCCUGUACAGGAUGAAGCCAGAGGAAACUCUGGUGGAAGUCCGAAGCGGUUCUGACGUGCAAAUCGAUCGUCUGAUAUUGGUAUAGGGGCGCAAGACUAAUCGAACCAUCUAGUAGCUGGUUCCUUCCGAA
rnacentral:rRNA from 1 species